UACUGUGAUCACAGGCAAUCUGACCCCUGUCAUCCUAGGGAGUGAUAGCAGAUGCCUGGCUGAGACUAAGCACUCCGUGGCACAGGAAACAGGAUGCAUGAGAUGACCUGAGCCAGAAAUCUCAUGGGAAAACUGUGAAGAGCAUGCUCUUUCUACCUUGAACAGAAUGGGAAAGCAGAAGUCAGUAGCUGUUGCUUAUGCGCUGGCAACCUUUGAAUCUUCAUCUCAUGCACCUUCUCCUUUUCCUUGCUGGCAGCUGGAGGGCCUUGGACCGGUGCCCUGCUCUGCAGGAUGACUGAGCUCCACCCGGAGAAACUCCUCCCGCCCUCAGGCAUUUCCAGUCUCAGUCACCAUGAACACUCCUGUAACAUAACUUGGCAGCUAACCAAGCUGGGCUCCUGGUGUUGUGUGUACUCUGCAAACACAGAAAACUAAGAGCCACCCUUCAGGAGGAUCACCCUGCACUAGGAAGGCCAGAUGUCAUAAAUGGUUUGCUCUUUCUGACACUUGAAAAUUGGACAUAAGGUGGAUGGCACUGGAUUUCUUAUGGCCGCUCUGCCCUUCAGCCUUCACCCGUGGUGCCAUCCACAGCCUUGCUGAGGAUGACUUCCACCCCAUGGUCCACAUCCAUGGUGAAGAUGCCAAGUAUUUUUAGCCCUGUAUCAAACACUGAGGAAUGCCACUCAUGACCAGCUGUCAGAUUUCAAGCUGUUCACCCCUCCCCUUUGAAACUGAUGGUCCAGCCAGUUUUCAGCCACCUUGUGGUCCAUCUGUCUAGUCCAUAUCUUCCUAGCUUUGGGUACAAGGAUGGGAGAUUGUUCUGUCCCUUCUGUGCUUACAAAAGAUUUUCAUGAGGUUUUGCUCCACAAUGCAGCACUGUCUGCUAGGAAUGAGGAGCAGCAGCAUGGAAUGCUGACAAGUUAGAAUGGUCUCACAUUAUCCAUAGCCAUACUGGCUAAUACCUGUGAAUUCUCUGUGUUAGGCUGCUCUAAAGGAUACUUGGUCUGUGCUGCUUUUGGGGUUCUUCUUAAAGCAUUUUUUGCCUGGAGAUAAGCAGAGGUCACUUGGAAGCUGGCUAUUUUACAUGGAAAAUACGAUGGCUAUUCUGGUUGGAUCCAAGCCUGGAUUAAUCUUCUUCAACAGCUUUGUUAUGUGAUCAUUUAAAAAUUAAAAACCUUUUCAUAUACAAACAGUUCACCAGCUUAGAGAAGAUUGUUUCUUAUAUAACAAAGGUCAUUUUGUUUACAUAUGCUGUUUUUUCAUAAAGAGAGUGAUGUAAGGGCUGCUACAAAAAAAUCAAGAGCGAAAGUGUUUGGCUUUUAAUAUGCAUUUAACUAAGCUAAAAUUAAAUAAGGGUGAUGUUUACUAUAUGGUGCUUUUGUCAAGCUAUGAAUUGCUGAUCUUUUCUGAACACAGUGGAGUAUCCCAAGAGAUUCCCCAGAUUCCAGGGAGAAAAACCAAGCACACUUUAUUAAAUUAAAAAAAGCAAAAAGCAGUUCAUAGUUAUGAAUGAUGAUAUCUAUGCUGAUGUAUUUUAAGGUUUCUUACAGUGAUGUAUACAAGAAGCUAUUACACUAAACCUGUUAAAUUCGACAUUUUAUUUUCUGUAUCUGACUGACAAUCUUUGUACACUAACUGACCUCUUCUCUCUCUUGUCCUACUACUUCAGGAAUUCUGAGUCUGCAUUUCUCUUACAGCAAUGCUGUAAAAGAACAAAUGUUAUGAAAUCUUAAUGUUACUAUAAAAAGCAGCUGCAAAAUCUCCUUGGCUGCCCAAGAUUGUACCAGAUGGUAAAGAACUGGAAGUAUAAUAAGUGUCAUAUUAAGCCAGUCAGAUUUGAGGGACACGUUAUACAUCCCACAUAAAUAAAACACUGCUAAAACUGCCCCUGGAGUGAUGAGAUUCAGGAAUAAGCUUUUCUGUAGCCUCAGGAGUAUCCCAUGGUAUCUGCAAUGCAAAGUGUUUCUAAUAUUCAGAGCACUCAGAUUAGUCUGGUUCUUUGCCAAGGCCUGACAGCUCAGUGUUGCUACAUCUCUCUAGAUGCAGGGGUUGUGAUAAAGCUAAUCUCCCUUUUUUUCCCUCCUAGGACUUUCACAAUUUUUUUCUCUAAAAAAUAAAACUACAGCCAGCCUUCUUAUCAGAAAUAUAGAGAUGAUGAGGAGUAAGUGCUGCAUUGACACCCAAAGCUGUAUCCUUGGGACUCAGUUAUCCCAUCACAGAAAAAUUGUGUUCAUUUAAAAGGUCAUUGACUGUACAACUGGCUGAGCAUUGUCCCUAUUUUGUUUGCUAUAAUUCUAACAUCUUGUUUCCUUCAUAUACAAAUUUUUAGCCCUCCUGCUGUGUUAGUACACAGAGACCCCAAGAAUGACAGAAUCAUCCAUGUCAGAGAGAACCUCAGGAGAUCUGUGGUCCAACCUCCUGCAUGAAGCAGGGUCAGCUGUCAAGUCAGCCCAGUUUGCUCACAGCUUUAUUGGUCUCUUCUUGAAAACCUCUGAGGAUGGAGACAGCACAGCUCCAGGCCUCUGCUGCCUGAUUUUAGUACAUGGUCAGCCUUUCUCAGAGGUGACAGAGAAACACAACAAAAUCGUUUGGCAUAUGUGGAUCAGUCACAAGGAUCUGAGCUUUAAGGGGCGUGUUUCCCUACAAAAGGUUGAACUGGGGGUACAUUUCCAUAGAUCAAGAGCUGAGGAAAUAGGAGGCAGUAGGUGGCUUCUCCAACACACAGGCAGGUUCAAGCUGAGAACACAAACCCCACAUGCUGACACAUUGUAAAACCUGCUCCAUGCUGGCAUUUUUCUGUUAUGCCAGUGAAACACAUCCAUGUAUUCUGAAAGAGAUGCACGAUAAAUGACAGUUAAUGUUGCAGAAAAUUUGUAUCCUGUAAUACCAUAAAUGGUGAGAGCACAAACCAGACAAGCCAAGUAAAAAAGAAAGAAGAUGCAAAUGAAACUGUUAAUAGGUGCAGAGAUCUCUGAACUUUCCUCCUUCCUCUCUGACAUGUUUAUGCUGAACUUAGUGAUCUUUUACAGAAUAAUUUUGAGGUCAAAGUCAUUGCACUCAGUUGGAUGACACCUGCAACAACAAAGAAGUUUCAUUAUAGGUUUUUGUAGCAUUAUUAAAAAUGGGAAUAAGUCUCUGAGGCAUCAAGAGAGAAAUUUUAAGUCUGUGCAGGGCCAUAAUUUUAAAAUCCUCAUUUGAUUUGCAUAGUCAGUGGUUGCUUGGUUGCUAAUUUCAGUGUAAAUUUAGAAAGUGAAUUGUCCUGAAUGAAAGAAAUGUUAUGUCUGUCAGUAAAUAUCUUUCACUGCAGAUUCAUGGAAAUCUGCUGCUUCAUUAUUCUGGAAGAAGGAAUAUAAAAUGAGAAAUGCUUAAGUUGGAGAGAAUAUGUCAACCUGACUCCCUGAAUUUUGUUCAAAAUAAAUCCCUUGCCCUAUAAAUGACCUUGAUGAUAAGAGCAUAAGAACUGUGUUUAGAGACAAGGAAUUUAAAAUCCUGAGAUGUGGUGUUUUUAAACGGACUUCCAGAUUGCAAAGAGUUGUCUGAUAUGUAUCAGGGCAGCACACGUCAGGCUGUGUGUCCUGUCUUCUCUUUGGGUAGAACACACAGUUCUUACUGGACAGAAUAAAGAUUUCUUAUUUAUGCAGUCAUGCUCAGCAUAGACACAGAAAUCAGAAUAAUGGAAGAGUUUGGGUGGGAAGUGACCUUUAAA